rnacentral:rRNA from 1 species
GACGAACGCUGGCGGCGUGCCUAAUACAUGCAAGUAGAACGCUGAAGGAGGAGCUUGCUUCUCUGGAUGAGUUGCGAACGGGUGAGUAACGCGUAGGUAACCUACCUGGUAGCGGGGGAUAACUAUUGGAAACGAUAGCUAAUACCGCAUAAGAGUAGAUGUCGCAUGACAUUUGCUUAAAAGGUGCAAUUGCAUCACUACCAGAUGGACCUGCGUUGUAUUAGCUAGUUGGUGAGGUAACGGCUCACCAAGGCAACGAUACAUAGCCGACCUGAGAGGGUGAUCGGCCACACUGGGACUGAGACACGGCCCAGACUCCUACGGGAGGCAGCAGUAGGGAAUCUUCGGCAAUGGACGGAAGUCUGACCGAGCAACGCCGCGGGAGUGAAGAAGGGUUUCGGAUCGUAAAGCUCGGUUGUAAGAGAAGAACGAGUGUGAGAGUGGAAAGUUCACACUGUGACGGUAUCUUACCAGAAAGGGACGGCUAACUACGUG